rnacentral:lncRNA from 9 species
ACUGUGAGGUGCUGGGUGGCCACCGCUCCUCCCUGCUCCCCUAGCCUUCCAAACCAAGCCUACAGACUAUUUUUCUGCACUGUUCAACCUCUUGGUACAAGCAGAGUUUGAGUUGCUGCCCUCCCAAGUUAGCCCUCUGCUGGAGCUUUGGCAAAGAACACAAGGAUUGCUUAAAAUUCAGUAAGUGCAGGAGUUCCCUGGUGGCUGAGUGGGUUAAGGAUCAGCAGGUGUUUUCACUGCUGUGGUGCAGGUUUGAUCACUGGCCCAGGAACUUCUGUAUGCUGCAGGAGCAGCCAAUAAGUAAGUAAGUAAGUAAAUAAAUAGAUAUUUUAAAGUAAGCUUUUAAUAUAUCCCUAUAUUUGUAUAGGGCAUCGCUUCCUGUUUGAAAACUAUUUGCAUAGUUCUCUAAGUUUCUAAGAUUCAACUGCUUUUUUGGUUUAUGGAAUUGAGAUUAACCAUGAUACAUUUACAUGGUGUCAAUUAUCUGAAAUGUAGGCAUUCACCCAAUUCAUCCAUCUAUCCAUUCAUUUAUUCACCUAUCCAUCCACCCAUCCAAUAAUUUUAAAGUCCCUAUAAGUAACUCAUCAGUCUUUAUAGCACUGAAGUUGAGAGAGAAUCCACAGUAAUUAAGAGACGAUAAAUGUCACACAGAUCCCUGUUGCUUAUUAAGCAACUGAAAAUAGAAAAGCUCAGGGGAGAAUGAUCUGUGUGAAAGUUAAAGAUUCUUCCAUGGAGUGAUUUUACCAACCAUAUGCAUCUGCAAAAUAUAGAAAGCCAAGCCCAGGCAAGAUAAGCUCAUUCUGUGCUCAGGACCUGCUAAUUGGCUUCACAUGUAUGUGGAUGGAACCCUCAUGGGGCUAGAUUCCCAUAUGGGGAGAGAAAUGAGAUAAUUCACUGAAAGAUAUGUCUGAGUCAGACUGAGGGAACUGUUAUGAACUGGGCUGUGGCUAUAAUCAGCGUUAGUGCGAGGAUGACACUUUAGGGAGAUAUUGAUGGUCAAGAUGCGUUGAGUUUGAAUGCUGUUUUUCCAUUUCCUAAGUAUGACCUUGGGCUGUUUGUUCACAUUAUUUAUUCAGUAAAUAUUUAUCGAGCCCUGUUAUGCACCAGGCAUGGUGUGAGGUGAUGGAAAUUCUCUUGCCCUCACAGUAUAACACUGAUCAUUUUUUGAGCUUCACUUUCCUAAUCGUAACAAUAGCUAUCCUUCAGAAUUGUGUGGAGUUACGUACAAGGCCUAUCUGAUUAGCUACUGAAUGGGACUUUUCUUAUUGUCUCAGGACUGGCAACUUGGUUACAAAGUGGGGGGCAAAUAGAUGAUAAUUAGAGGACACAUAGAUGAUUAGGAUUUAUUAAGAGGCAAAUUCAUUUUCUGCCCCAGUUAUCACUCCCUACUCGUUAAUCUCAUCUGAGAAAAGUGCUGAGCUUCAGAAAGAGUUCCAUAUCUUCUACUCUUGGAGAGUGCUCCUUCUAAAAUAAGCCAAUGGGCUGCCCCAAGAGAAUUAUCUGUAGAGACUGGGGAGGGGGUACCAGCAGGCAGUCGAGCCUGGAAUCUCAUUUUUUAGUUGGAUACCCGCUUAUGCGAUGAAUGAAUUUGCUAAACUGUACUUUUUGUCUAUCUAAGCAAUGGGAAAGAGAUUUAGGGAGAGAACUCAGUGUAGAGAAAAUGAGCAGUAGGGGGAUAGGCCACACUCCCAUUAUCUGACAGGAAAAAGGUGCAUGAGUCUUGUGUAGAUCAAGUGGAUGCCAUGGAAAUCUUGAAUUAUUGUGAUGGAACCCUAUCCUAAAGUGUGACUAAGAGAAAAGACCCAGCAGGGAAAGUUUGUAGGGUGGAUUAUAUAAGGGUGGGAUUUGAGGGAGAUUGGAAAAUGUCCACUGGAGCUGAUUUCCUAUAAGAGGUGGCCAUGCAGUGAAGAGGCUGCCAAAGAACCUUCCAGAGAAUCCUCAGGUGUCUCCCAAGAGGUGUGAUAUUGGGAUGGUUGCCAUGGGGGAGGGCAGAGAUCAUAAUGGCAAUGAUAAGGAAAAACAUUUCUGCUCCCUUUGAGAAUUCUGUCUUCCUCUCUUUAACACAGCAAAGGACUCAGAAGUUGUGUGUGGGACAGGGGUGGGGGUGUAGGCUGGGGGGAAGCAUCUAGAGAUGCCCCUUCUCCUUGCCCACAUUCAUACCUCAGGGCUGUUCCUGGGUCUAGGGAAGAAGAUGGACAUUUAAAUCGGAUGAAAAAUGGACAUAGAAGGCACUGGAGUAUAUCUUUUACAACCUGAAAAGGUCAGAAAACUGGCAUCUGCUGGAGGUGCCAUAAAGUCUUGGGAAGGGGCGAUGCAGUGGAGCAUGUUUUAGAGCAGUAAUUGAAGAAAAAUAAAACCCUAUGGAGUUUGAACCCUGCUGAGUUCACAGUGUUCAAUAAACUGCUGACAAAUGUGAAGUGCUUAGCAAACAGUCAGUGCUUCACAAAUGGAAGGUAUCAUUACUCCUAGUCACCUGAAGAAAAUAAAUAUUCAGAAAAUGUCCACAUGUUUUAAUAUCAAAGAGCAAGUAAGAUGCUCAAUUUGGAUUUUUGCUUUAGGAGAAAGCAUAAUGUUGUGUUCAUUAUGUCCUCAUGUUUCUGUUUUUGUCAUGAAGGGCUUCUCAGAAUGUUUUCUGGGCUGUUUCACCACAUUCCUUUUGCUAUUUUAGGCAUUUACCAUUUUUGUCAUUUCAUAGACAGCCCACUCACCCCCCUACCCCACCCCCCGCCCUCAGGGAAUGAGAAAAUCAUAAAGGUGCUCUAUCCCCAAGCUCCAACUUAGAUGAAGAUAAAAUCCUAUUUAAUUAUUGGAAAAAUACUUCAAGUUCUUAAAAACAAAGUAUCUUGUGUAGGUGUGCAAUAAAGCAGUUUCUGCAGAUUCAGUACACAGAGAGGAGACUGAGAGUCCUGACGUAGUGAAGCAGAAGGACAAGGACACUGGGGUUGGCCCAGAAGACGCUAAUGACUUCCAGCAAUGUGACACUUACGUGUGUGCUAUUCAACCCCAUUUAGCGUCCAUUUCUUCAACUAUCCAAUGGGGGGUUUAUCAAGGACCACACAAAUGAUUUAAAUGAGCUGAUUCUGUAAAGCAUGUAGCCCAGUGCUAGGCACAAUUUGAUGCUCAAGAGAAAACUGUUUUCCCCUUUCCAAGGUUGCAGGGUAAGUAGAAAUAGUGGGUGGUUCAGUGGAAAGAGAGCUACUGGGAAGGGAGUAUCUGAAAAAAUUUACUGAAUAUUCACUUGCCAAUUAAGCCAACUAGAGCUGGUGACAGUUUAAAUGGCACUAUUAAGAAGAGUCACAGAAAAUCAUGAUGACACCAUUGGAGCAGAGUGAGGUACUGGUAUUUUUAUAUUUAUUUUAUAAUGUAUUAAUAUCCUGAUAU